rnacentral:rRNA from 1 species
GAUGAACGCUGGCGGCGUGCCUAAUACAUGCAAGUCGAACGAACAGACGAGGAGCUUGCUUCUUUUACGUUAGCGGCGGACGGGUGAGUAACACGUGGGUAACCUACCUAUAAGACUGGGAUAACUUCGGGAAACCGGAGCUAAUACCGGAUAAUAUUUCGAACCGCAUUGGUCGAUAGUGAAAGAUGGCUUUUCUCUCCCUUAUAGACGGACCUGCGCCGUAUUAGCUAGUUGGGAAGGUAACGGCUUACCAAGGCAAUGAUACUUAGCCGACCUGAGAGGGUGGUCGGCCACACUGGAACUGAGACACGGUCCAGACACCUACGGGAGGCAGCAGUAGGGAAUCUUCCGCGAUGGGCGAAAGCCUGACGGAGCAACGCCGCGUGAGUGAUGAAGGUCUUCGGAUCGUAAAACGCUGUUAUUAGGGAGGAAGAAACGUGUAAGUAACUGUGCACGUCUUGACGGUACCUAAUCAGAAAGCCACGGCUAACUACGUG